rnacentral:sRNA from 1 species
AACCAAGUAGAAACACCCGUUUCUCACCUGUAGCGACGCAAAAAGCUGUUGGCAGGUUAAUCAUGUCACACAAUUAUUGUGUAUGAGUGAAGAGCGGGCAAAUAUUGUCCGCUCUUUUUGCU